AAUGCAAUGCUACGACGCUUUGUAAAGUUCCAUUAACCGUUUAUGGCCUAUCCCAAUGCCAACUUUUACUUAAUCCUAUUUUAGAGUCAAUUCCUCUAUCAUAAUUUUGCUUCUCUUAUCCUUUUACAUUUUGAAAACAUGAAAUUAUUGUAGGGCCUUUAACUAAGCCUUAGCCCUCCAAAGAUAUAUUUGAUUUAUAUAUGACCUAAAUUCUUUUCAAAUAUUUGAAAGAGAUAGGCAAAUAAUUCAUUUAGGACCUUGUCUUUGAAAUGCAUUGGAAUUUAAAUCACAAAUCAAAGUGAUUGUGAGUCCAAGUAGUAUUUGAGUUGGCUUCCUAGUGACGAUGAUUUGAAGGCCCUAAUGAAUAAAUCCAAUGAGAAGUCUGGUGGAGGAUCUAGAAAAGGAAAGAAUAAAGGCCGCAACAUGAAAAUGUUACAUCAUAUGCAUAAAUCUUCCAGGUAUGUACAUCAUGCACGAAAAUAAUUAAUUUAUGUAUGUUUUUAUACUUUCACUACAACAAAACAAGGUUUAACCGACGCUUUGGUGGGAUCAUUUGCCAGCGCCAGGUAAAACCGGGCGAAGCAACCAGAAUACGUGGCACAAUCACUCUUGGUCUCCCUCUCUCAGGGUUUAUAUAGGUAGAGAAAAGGAGCAAAGAAUUAGGCAGCCCCUGUUGCCGGAGAAAGAGAUGGCAUAGGAGAUCUCUCUUCUCAUCAGAUCUGCUGAGAUGGGAAUGAGAUCUCUCUUCUCUUCUUUGAAGCUCAUCUAGUAAGCUCAAAUUUGGGACAAGUGAGAGACAGUGGGUUGAAGCCCAAGUUGAAAAUGCUAAGCAGCAGGCUAUUCUUGCGGCACUUAAAUCUCAAGUAUCAUCUGAUGAAGCUCACAUUCAUCAUGAUCUUCAUUCUCUUCGGUGCUUCUUUUCACUGGAUGAUAUUCCUAGCAAGCACUCUGUGGACAUAAUAUGUCCGAGUAUUCUAGCUGAUGAUCAUCACAGAUUUAUCAUUCUCCAAAUACAUGUACAUCGAUACAGGAGAUUUUUUCCGAGUAGCUUGAGGAAAGGAGACUUAUAUCUAGAGGCAACUGCAAAUUUCUGGUGCUUAUCAUCCAAUGUUCAUCAUCAGCUUUCUCACUUUCAAUUUUUCGUCUCCAUUGAUAAAUCUGUGAACUCUUGUUCCUCCUCUUAGAUGGGCAGAAGUCUUAAACUUCUUUUUUAUUAUAUAUUCAUAGGCAAUAAACUUUUGGAAUUGAUAGUUUCUGAUACCUGGGGAUGUACUUGGUUUUGCUAUUAGAUACAUUUCAUUGGUAUUAGUAGAUUUACAUGGUAUUUUUGCAUGGUAUGCACUUGUGUUUUUUCAAAGACUAAAAUUAAUAUUGAGAAUAUCUUCGAGUGUGUAUAAUCAAAAGUAUUCAAGCCACUGGUGGUGGUGAAUACAAGAAAUUCAAACCCUUUCUUGAAAUAUGUGGUAAUACUCACGGUUUCUCUUGUACAGUCUCCAUGAAUCUUUAUGGUGUCUGAUGGCCACAUCCCACCAAUUAUGCCAUUCAAUGUUGUAAUUUUUCUCAUUAACCAUCUACUUUUUCCAAACACACAAACUCUUUUUAUUUCUCUUUUUUUAUUAUCAAUUUCUUGGGGUUUUGGAUAUGAAUGUUUU